GACGGGGGAUGAAAGCGUUAUCCGGAAUCACUGGGCGUAACGCGUCUGUAGGUGGUGAUGCAAGUCACUGGUGCAAAACUCUGGCUCAACCGGAGGAAAGCCAGUGAAACUGCAUGACUAGAGUGUGGGAGAGGUAGAAGGAAUUCCCUGAGUAGCGGUGAAAUGCGUAGAUACAGGGAAGAACACCGGAGGCGAAAGCGUUCUACUGGAACCCAACUGACACUGAGAGACGAAAGCUAGGGGAGCGAAUGGG
rnacentral:rRNA from 1 species